GGGAAUGAGCAAGAUCAAGGGCACCAGGUUCGCAGGCUUCUGAUCGAGCAAGUCGGGCAUGGCGGUUGCGUCUGGCGUUGGAAGCUGAGGCCCUGCAGAUUCCAGGUCUCCAGGUACUCCUUUCUCCACUCUUCCCGUAGCUCCUCAGAAUCGCGGUACCAUUGCCUGAUAAGUAAAUUCAGAUCAUAAGUGAGGCCGUCAGGGUUUACCUGCAGAGAACAUGACACAGUAACGCAAGAUUUUCUGUUGUACAAGCAGUCGCCAACUAAUCAGGGAGUCUAAUAAAUGAAUUAAUCAGUGAAUCAAGGGUAAAGAGCCUCAGCUCACCAUAUACCCUAUUCAACAGAUGCAUAUCAUUCUCAGAGAAAGAAAACGCAGAUGUAUAGCAGGCAUUCUGUCGAACAGCUCACGUGCAUGAAGAAGGAGCGAGGCGGUGCUCACCUGCAGACGAGGGAGCAGCUGAG
rnacentral:lncRNA from 1 species